rnacentral:rRNA from 1 species
GAUGAACGCUGGCGGCGUGCCUAAUACAUGCAAGUCGAGCGAACAGACGAGGAGCUUGCUCCUCUGACGUUAGCGGCGGACGGGUGAGUAACACGUGGAUAACCUACCUAUAAGACUGGGAUAACUUCGGGAAACCGGAGCUAAUACCGGAUAAUAUAUUGAACCGCAUGGUUCAAUAGUGAAAGACGGUUUUGCUGUCACUUAUAGAUGGAUCCGCGCCGCAUUAGCUAGUUGGUAAGGUAACGGCUUACCAAGGCAACGAUGCGUAGCCGACCUGAGAGGGUGAUCGGCCACACUGGAACUGAGACACGGUCCAGACUCCUACGGGAGGCAGCAGUGGGGAAUCUUCCGCAAUGGGCGAAAGCCUGACGGAGCAACGCCGCGUGAGUGAUGAAGGUCUUCGGAUCGUAAAACUCUGUUAUUAGGGAAGAAAAAAUGUGUAAGUAACUAUGCACGUCUUGACGGUACCUAAUCAGAAAGCCACGGCUAACUACGUG